CCAUAGCCCCGAUAGAAGCGGCAUCCUUUUUCUUUUUUUAUUAAAAAAGAAAAAGAUACAGCGGAUAGCGGGAUCAAGC
rnacentral:sRNA from 1 species